rnacentral:rRNA from 1 species
CCUCAGCGCUGAUAGUGAUCCUAAUCAGACCUCCGAGAAAAACCUCUAAGUUAUGGUAUAGACAGCCCGUACCGCAAACCGACACAGGUGGGUGGGAUGAAUAUUCUAAGGCGCUCGGGUGAGCCGUGGAGAAGGAACUAGGCAAUUGACGCUGUAACUUCGGGAUAAAGCGUACCGAUUUCGGUCGGUCUCAGUAAAAUGGUACAACCAACUGUUUAGCAAAAACACAGGGCACUGCAAAAUCGAAAGAUGACGUAUAGAGCCUGAUACCUGCCCGGUGCUGGAAGGUUAAGGAAGGAUGUUCGACGCAAGUCAAAGCUUCUGACUGAAGCCCCAGUAAACGGCGGCCGUAACAAUAACGGUCCUAAGGUAGCGAAAUUCCUUGUCGGGUAAGUUCCGACCUGCACGAAUGGUCUAAUGAGUUGUACACUGUCUCCUCCACGAGCCCGGUGAAAUUGUAGUAUCGGUGAAGAUGCCGGUUACCCGUCACGGGACGGAAAGACCCCAUGAACCUUCACUACAACUUUGCAUUGAUUUUGAAUUUUUGAUGUGUAGGAUAGUUGGGAGACUUCGAAGGAGUGUCGCUAGGCAUUCUGGAGUCGUCGUUGAAAUACCAACCUUUAAACAUUUAGAAUCUAAUCCCUAACGGGAAACAGUGCAUGGUGGGUAGUUUGACUGGGGUGGUCGCCUCCUAAAAUGUAACGGAGGCUUGCAAAGGUUCCCUCAGUGCGGUUGGUAAUCGUACAUAGAGCGUAUUAGUAUAAGGGAGCUUACUGUGAGGCUUACAAGCCGAUCAGGGACGAAAGUCGGCUAAAGUGAUCCGGCGGUUCUGUAUGGAAGGGCCGUCGCUCAAAGGAUAAAAGGUACUCUGGGAUAACAGGCUGAUCUUACCCAAGAGCUCAUAUCGACGGUAAGGUUUGGCACCUCGAUGUCGGUUCGUCACAUCCUGGGGCUGGAGAAGGUCCCAAGGGUUCGGCUGUUCGCCGAUUAAAGUGGCACGUGAACUGGGUUCAGAACGUCGCAAGACAGUUCGGUCCCUAUCUGUGAUGGGCGCUAGUAAAUUGAGAAGACAUGACUUUAGUACGAGAGGACCGAGUCGUAUGUUCCGCUGGUGUAUCUGUUGUGCCGCCAGGUGCAAUGCAGAGUAGCUAUGAACAGCAAGGAUAAACGCUGAAAGCAUCUAAGCGUGAAACCUUCUUCAAGAUGAGUUUACUUUUAAGGGCCGUGGAAGACUACCACGUUGAUAGGCUAUAGGUAUAAGGGUGGUAACAUCGAAGCCGAGUAGUACUAAUUACCCGUAAGCUUUAUUGG